AUGGAAAUUUGCAAGCAUACAAUGUCAAUCAGCAUUCUUAGUCAUCUACUUGUAUUUUGUUCUAGCAGUUUAAAUUUCCGACAACUAAAUCAAAUUGGUACAAAGCUGGGCUAUGCUACAGUAAGACCAUCUUACUAUGACUAUGCCAUAGAAAAGGAAGCAACAAGUAGAUUUUCAAUCAGCAUUCUUAGUCAUCAACUUGUAUUUUGUUCUAGCAGUUUAAAUUUCCGACAACGUUAUCAACCAAUAGGUACAAAGCUGGGCUAUGCUGCAUUUUUAAAUUGCUAUAAGUAUUUACAUAACUCAAUGGAAGAUCCUAAGCAUUCAGUACGAAAUCAAAUUCAUAAUAAGCACUGA
rnacentral:rRNA from 1 species